rnacentral:rRNA from 1 species
AUUGAACGCUGGCGGCAGGCCUAACACAUGCGAGUCGAGCGGAUGAAGGGAGCUUGCUCCUGGAUUCAGCGGCGGACGGGUGAGUAAUGCCUAGGAAUCUGCCUGGUAGUGGGGGAUAACGUCGGGAAACGGGCGCUAAUACCGCAUACGUCCUGAGGGAGAAAGUGGGGGAUCUUCGGACCUCACGCUAUCAGAUGAGCCUAGGUCGGAUUAGCUAGUUGGUGGGGUAAAGGCCUACCAAGGCGACGAUCCGUAACUGGUCUGAGAGGGUGAUCAGUCACACUGGAACUGAGACACGGUCCAGACUCCUACGGGAGGCAGCAGUGGGGAAUAUUGGACAAUGGGCGAAAGCCUGAUCCAGCCAUGCCGCGUGUGUGAAGAAGGUCUUCGGAUUGUAAAGCACUUUAAGUUGGGAGGAAGGGCAGUAAGUUAAUACUUUGCUGUUUUGACGUUACCAACAGAAUAAGCACCGGCGAACUUCGU